GGAUGGGUGGCAGAGCGGUUGAAUGCACCUGACUUGAAAUCAGGCGUACCCGCAAGGGUACCGGGGGUUCGAAUCCCUCCCCAUCCGCCA
rnacentral:tRNA from 1 species